rnacentral:rRNA from 1 species
UACGUAGGGGGCAAGCGUUAUCCGGAUUUACUGGGUGUAAAGGGAGCGUAGACGGCAUGGCAAGCCAGAUGUGAAAUACCGGGGCUCAACCCCGGGACUGCAUUUGGAACUGUUAAGCUGGAGUGUCGGAGAGGCAGGCGGAAUUCCUAGUGUAGCGGUGAAAUGCGUAGAUAUUAGGAGGAACACCAGUGGCGAAGGCGGCCUGCUGGACGAUAACUGGCGUUGAGGCUCGAAAGCGUGGGGAGCAAACAGG